rnacentral:rRNA from 1 species
GGAGUUUGGGCCGUGUCUCAGUCCCAAUGUGGCCGUUCACCCUCUCAGGCCGGCUACUGAUCGUCGCCUUGGUGGGCCGUUGCCCCGCCAACUAGCUAAUCAGACGCGGGCCCAUCCUGUGCCUAUAAAUAUUUGACGGCAUUGCCAUGCGGCAUCGCCGUGUUAUGCGGUUUUAUCAGCCGUUUCCAGCUGCUAUCCCCCUGCACAGGGUAGGUUACCCACGCGUUACUCACCCGUCCGCCACUAACUUAAAUCAAAAGCAAGCUUCCGAUCUAAGCCCGUUCGACUUGCAUGUGUUAAGCACGCCGCCAGCGUUCAUC